rnacentral:tRNA from 1 species
GGAACAGUAGCAAAGAUGGUCAAUGCUGCGGAUUGAAGAUCCGAAGAUACAGGUUCGAGUCCUGUCUGUUCCACCA